GGGGAGUGGCAGACGGGUGAGUAACGCGUGGGAACAUACCCUUUCCUGCGGAAUAGCUCCGGGAAACUGGAAUUAAUACCGCAUACGCCCUACGGGGGAAAGAUUUAUCGGGGAAGGAUUGGCCCGCGUUGGAUUAGCUAGUUGGUGGGGUAAAGGCCUACCAAGGCGACGAUCCAUAGCUGGUCUGAGAGGAUGAUCAGCCACAUUGGGACUGAGACACGGCCCAAACUCCUACGGGAGGCAGCAGUGGGGAAUAUUGGACAAUGGGCGCAAGCCUGAUCCAGCCAUGCCGCGUGAGUGAUGAAGGCCUUAGGGUUGUAAAGCUCUUUCACCGAUGAAGAUAAUGACGGUAGUCGGAGAAGAAGCCCCGGCUAACUUCGUGCCAGCAGCCGCGGUAAUACGAAGGGGGCUAGCGUUGUUCGGAAUUACUGGGCGUAAAGCGCACGUAGGCGGAUAUUUAAGUCAGGGGUGAAAUCCCGCAGCUCAACUGCGGAACUGCCUUUGAUACUGGGUAUCUUGAGUAUGGAAGAGGUAAGUGGAAUUCCGAGUGUAGAGGUGAAAUUCGUAGAUAUUCGGAGGAACACCAGUGGCGAAGGCGGCUUACUGGUCCAUUACUGACGCUGA
rnacentral:rRNA from 1 species